UACGAAGGGGGCUAGCGUUGCUCGGAAUCACUGGGCGUAAAGCGCACGUAGGCGGAUUGUUAAGUCAGGGGUGAAAUCCUGGAGCUCAACUCCAGAACUGCCUUUGAUACUGAGAUCUUGAGUUCGGGAGAGGUGAGUGGAACUGCGAGUGUAGAGGUGAAAUUCGUAGAUAUUCGCAAGAACACCAGUGGCGAAGGCGGCUCACUGGCCCGGAUACUGACGCUGAG
rnacentral:rRNA from 1 species